GCAAACGAAACUAAGAGUGGGAUUCACUGACACCAAUUUAAGAGGAUAAAUCAAGACACACAGAGAGCAGAAUACAAGAAAUAAGUAUGUGUGGUUACACUGGGCUGAACGGUGUGAGCAGCCAGGGAGUAGAAAUGGCAUCAAGUAAUAAAAAAACAAUACCAAGGAGAAGAAAGGGGUUUCCAUCCAUUCCCCGGACCAACCACUGUCACAUCUCCACCAAGAUUCCUCAGAUUUCUUUUUUCCUCAUUUCCUCCCCAACUCUUUAAAUCCCUGUGGAUAAUGGAAGUGAAUGUUUCUCUAAGCUUUCCUCCACUUCCAGGCUAAAGAAGUUAAUACAUGUUCCCUGUAAAGCUCAGCCUCUUUCACCUCGUCAGUACACAAUUUGUGUUAAACACUUCAUUUGGUUGUGAAAGACUUUAGUGCUUCACAUAGCUUAGCUUCACAUCUCACAGUCCUAAGUGUAGAUGCAUUGCACUGAAUUGAUAAAUCAACAUAAAUCAUAUGCUACAUUUAAAAUAAAGUGUAAUGCUUUGUCAGCUUUGUCAAGUUGUUUGGUCGAUGUGAUAUACUGACAUUACUUUUUGUUUUGUUUUCAUUACUGAUUUUCCACAUUGUUUUGUAAU